rnacentral:rRNA from 1 species
GCUACACAUGCAGUCGAACGGUAGCACAGAGGAGCUUGCUCCUUGGGUGACGAGUGGCGGACGGGUGAGGAAUAUAUCGGAAUCUACCCAAUCGUGGGGGAUAACGUAGGGAAACUUACGCUAAUACCGCAUACGAUCUGAGGAUGAAAGCGGCGGACCGCAAGGCGUCGCGCGAUUGGAUGAGCCGAUAUCCGAUUAGCUAGUUGGUAAGGUAAAAGCUUACCAAGGCGACGAUCGGUAGCUGGUCUGAGAGGAUGAUCAGCCACACUGGAACUGAGACACGGUCCAGACUCCUACGGGAGGCAGCAGUGGGGAAUAUUGGACAAUGGGCGCAAGCCUGAUCCAGCCAUGCCGCGUGUGUGAAGAAGGCCUUCGGGUUGUAAAGCACUUUCACUUGGGAAGAAAAGUUCACCGUUAAUAGCGGUGAGCCGUGACAUUACCUUGAGAAGAAGCACCGGCUAACUCCGUGCCAGCAGCCGCGGUAAUACGGAGGGUGCGAGCGUUAAUCGGAAUUACUGGGCGUAAAGCGCGCGUAGGCGGUUUGUUAAGUCAGCUGUGAAAGCCCCGGGCUCAACCUGGGAACUGCAGUUGAUACUGGCCGACUAGAGUACGAGAGAGGGAGGUAGAAUUCCAUGUGUAGCGGUGAAAUGCGUAGAUAUAUGGAGGAAUACCGGUGGCGAAGGCGGCCUCCUGGCUCGAUACUGACGCUGAGGUGCGAAAGCGUGGGGAUCAAACAGGAUUAGAUACCCUGGUAGUCCACGCCGUAAACGAUGUCUACUAGC